UUACAUAUAAAUUAGGUUUGAAGCAGAGGCAGUUGCUCGAAAUCAGAGGCAUCUUGUUCGAAAAAAGAUGGAUGGUUAUUUUGGCCAACUUGUGUUCAUGCAAUGAAAACUACCUAUAAUAAUUUUCCAAUCAUUGAUUCCUGCAACAAGCUUAGACUUAAAAGAGUUAAUGUAACUGGAAGUCAUUAAAUUUUACAAUAAAGAAGUUAUGUGCAGGAUUUAAUUUCACGACUAAAGAGGAUUUCAAAGAAGAAUUAAAGUUCUAGUGGAUCAAAGAUUGAGGAAUGAUUUGGUUUUAACUGGUUUGAAUCUUAUGAACGAAGUACAUAAUAUGAUUUAAAUUGAUGAUUUAUAGUUACACCUAUUGAAAUUCUGUAUCUCAAUGAUAUCCUGGCUUAUUGAUACGAUAUCCUGUAAAUCCACUCACACACAUAAUUUUUACUCACACACGUAAAUCCUGUAAAUUCACUCACACGCAUAAAUCUUAAAAAAGAUGUUUAUAUUUUUAUGUAUAAAUUGUAAAUUUUAUAUAAAUAAAUUGUAUAUUUUUUA